ACUUUUUUACUUUCUUGAAAUUAUGUUUGGGUUACUGUCUUUUUGUUUUGAAUAAAAAAAAGUAUUUUUUAUUAUUUUAUUCCACAAAUAUUUAGAAAAUUGCAGGGUGUGAGCCAUUAAGAUGAAAUUGAAAAGAGCAAAAAUAUCUCGGGAAAGAGUAAAGGCGAGAGAUCAGGACGAGAGUGAUGGGAGAAGCACCGAUUGAGGCGGAUGACCGGGAUUGUUGCGACGGUUGUCGUGUAGCUCAUGAAGAAGCUCAAAUUCAUAGAGAGGAUCCAUUUUUCUUCUUUACCACAUUGUGGUGGUUUACACACUGUCAUGCUUUCAACUUUGAAGACUGUUAGCACGGUUGAAAAGUUUUUUUAGCAGUGUUGGUAAGAAUAGUGUGAUAUAGAAUCAUCAAAAGGUUGAAUGUGGAAACUCUAUUUCAUGACAAGUCUUUCUUCACCAGUGCUUCAUCUGUUAUAACUAUUACCCAAAUGAGGUUCUUUCUAUUAUAUGAUACUCUUUUGUUAUUUUUAUUGUUAUACAUGCUUUGUGUUGUUCCUAAUUGUUGUAUCUUGAUUCUCUCAUCUACUCAUUUUGCCUUACUAUUAUCUUGCACAGAUCAUUGACAGAAGAAUAUGAUUUUUGAGAAGGCAAAACUAUUCUUUUUGCAUGUUUAGUUGAUGGAUGAAGGGUGAAAGUUUGUGAUAAAUAGAACAUGCUUAUAAAGAAACAAUAGAAAAUAAUUCACUAUAAUAAAAUAAUGAUAUUUUAACUACUAAAUUUUAACAACU